AUGCAGUCGAGCGGUAGCACAGAGAGCUUGCUCUCGGGUGACGAGCGGCGGACGGGUGAGUAAUGUCUGGGAAACUGCCUGAUGGAGGGGGAUAACUACUGGAAACGGUAGCUAAUACCGCAUAAUGUCGCAAGACCAAAGUGGGGGACCUUCGGGCCUCAUGCCAUCAGAUGUGCCCAGAUGGGAUUAGCUAGUAGGUGGGGUAACGGCUCACCUAGGCGACGAUCCCUAGCUGGUCUGAGAGGAUGACCAGCCACACUGGAACUGAGACACGGUCCAGACUCCUACGGGAGGCAGCAGUGGGGAAUAUUGCACAAUGGGCGCAAGCCUGAUGCAGCCAUGCCGCGUGUGUGAAGAAGGCCUUCGGGUUGUAAAGCACUUUCAGCGGGGAGGAAGGCGAUAAGGUUAAUAACCUUGUCGAUUGACGUUACCCGCAGAAGAAGCACCGGCUAACUCCGUGCCAGCAGCCGCGGUAAUACGGAGGGUGCAAGCGUUAAUCGGAAUUACUGGGCGUAAAGCGCACGCAGGCGGUCUGUCAAGUCGGAUGUGAAAUCCCCGGGCUCAACCUGGGAACUGCAUUCGAAACUGGCAGGCUAGAGUCUUGUAGAGGGGGGGUAGAAUUCCAGGUGUAGCGGUGAAAUGCGUAGAGAUCUGGAGGAAUACCGGUGGCCGAAGGCGGACCCCUGCACAAAGACUGACGCUCAGGUGCGAAAGCGUGAGAGCAAACAGGAUUAGAUACCCUG
rnacentral:rRNA from 1 species